rnacentral:rRNA from 1 species
UUAAGUUAUUAAGGGCGCACGGUGGAUGCCUUGGCACUAGAAGCCGAUGAAGGACGUUACUAACGACGAUAUGCUUUGGGGAGCUGUAAGUAAGCUUUGAUCCAGAGAUUUCCGAAUGGGGAAACCCAGCAUGAGUUAUGUCAUGUUAUCGAUAUGUGAAUACAUAGCAUAUCAGAAGGCACACCCGGAGAACUGAAACAUCUUAGUACCCGGAGGAAGAGAAAGAAAAUUCGAUUCCCUUAGUAGCGGCGAGCGAAACGGGAAGAGCCCAAACCAACAAGCUUGCUUGUUGGGGUUGUAGGACACUCUAUACGGAGUUACAAAGGACGACAUUAGACGAAUCAUCUGGAAAGAUGAAUCAAAGAAGGUAAUAAUCCUGUAGUCGAAAAUGUUGUCUCUCUUGAGUGGAUCCUGAGUACGACGGAGCACGUGAAAUUCCGUCGGAAUCUGGGAGGACCAUCUCCUAAGGCUAAAUACUCUCUAGUGACCGAUAGUGAACCAGUACCGUGAGGGAAAGGUGAAAAGCACCCCGGAAGGGGAGUGAAAUAGAACCUGAAACCGUGUGCUUACAAGUAGUCAGAGCCCGUUAAUGGGUGAUGGCGUGCCUUUUGUAGAAUGAACCGGCGAGUUACGAUUUGAUGCAAGGUUAAGCAGUAAAUGUGGAGCCGUAGCGAAAGCGAGUCUGAAUAGGGCGUUUAGUAUUUGGUCGUAGACCCGAAACCAGGUGAUCUACCCUUGGUCAGGUUGAAGUUCAGGUAACACUGAAUGGAGGACCGAACCGACUUACGUUGAAAAGUGAGCGGAUGAACUGAGGGUAGCGGAGAAAUUCCAAUCGAACCUGGAGAUAGCUGGUUCUCUCCGAAAUAGCUUUAGGGCUAGCCUCAAGUGAUGAUUAUUGGAGGUAGAGCACUGUUUGGACGAGGGGCCCCUCUCGGGUUACCGAAUUCAGACAAACUCCGAAUGCCAAUUAAUUUAACUUGGGAGUCAGAACAUGGGUGAUAAGGUCCGUGUUCGAAAGGGAAACAGCCCAGACCACCAGCUAAGGUCCCAAAAUAUAUGUUAAGUGGAAAAGGAUGUGGCGUUGCCCAGACAACUAGGAUGUUGGCUUAGAAGCAGCCAUCAUUUAAAGAGUGCGUAAUAGCUCACUAGUCGAGUGACACUGCGCCGAAAAUGUACCGGGGCUAAACAUAUUACCGAAGCUGUGGAUUGUCCUUUGGACAAUGGUAGGAGAGCGUUCUAAGGGCGUUGAAGCAUGAUCGUAAGGACAUGUGGAGCGCUUAGAAGUGAGAAUGCCGGUGUGAGUAGCGAAAGACGGGUGAGAAUCCCGUCCACCGAUUGACUAAGGUUUCCAGAGGAAGGCUCGUCCGCUCUGGGUUAGUCGGGUCCUAAGCUGAGGCCGACAGGCGUAGGCGAUGGAUAACAGGUUGAUAUUCCUGUACCACCUAUAAUCGUUUUAAUCGAUGGGGGGACGCAGUAGGAUAGGCGAAGCGUGCGAUUGGAUUGCACGUCUAAGCAGUAAGGCUGAGUAUUAGGCAAAUCCGGUACUCGUUAAGGCUGAGCUGUGAUGGGGAGAAGACAUUGUGUCUUCGAGUCGUUGAUUUCACACUGCCGAGAAAAGCCUCUAGAUAGAAAAUAGGUGCCCGUACCGCAAACCGACACAGGUAGUCAAGAUGAGAAUUCUAAGGUGAGCGAGCGAACUCUCGUUAAGGAACUCGGCAAAAUGACCCCGUAACUUCGGGAGAAGGGGUGCUCUUUAGGGUUAACGCCCAGAAGAGCCGCAGUGAAUAGGCCCAAGCGACUGUUUAUCAAAAACACAGGUCUCUGCUAAACCGUAAGGUGAUGUAUAGGGGCUGACGCCUGCCCGGUGCUGGAAGGUUAAGAGGAGUGGUUAGCUUCUGCGAAGCUACGAAUCGAAGCCCCAGUAAACGGCGGCCGUAACUAUAACGGUCCUAAGGUAGCGAAAUUCCUUGUCGGGUAAGUUCCGACCCGCACGAAAGGCGUAACGAUUUGGGCACUGUCUCAACGAGAGACUCGGUGAAAUCAUAGUACCUGUGAAGAUGCAGGUUACCCGCGACAGGACGGAAAGACCCCGUGGAGCUUUACUGUAGCCUGAUAUUGAAAUUCGGCACAGCUUGUACAGGAUAGGUAGGAGCCUUUGAAACGUGAGCGCUAGCUUACGUGGAGGCGCUGGUGGGAUACUACCCUAGCUGUGUUGGCUUUCUAACCCGCACCACUUAUCGUGGUGGGAGACAGUGUCAGGCGGGCAGUUUGACUGGGGCGGUCGCCUCCUAAAAGGUAACGGAGGCGCUCAAAGGUUCCCUCAGAAUGGUUGGAAAUCAUUCAUAGAGUGUAAAGGCAUAAGGGAGCUUGACUGCGAGACCUACAAGUCGAGCAGGGUCGAAAGACGGACUUAGUGAUCCGGUGGUUCCGCAUGGAAGGGCCAUCGCUCAACGGAUAAAAGCUACCCCGGGGAUAACAGGCUUAUCUCCCCCAAGAGUUCACAUCGACGGGGAGGUUUGGCACCUCGAUGUCGGCUCAUCGCAUCCUGGGGCUGUAGUCGGUCCCAAGGGUUGGGCUGUUCGCCCAUUAAAGCGGUACGCGAGCUGGGUUCAGAACGUCGUGAGACAGCUCGGUCCCUAUCCGUCGUGGGCGUAGGAAAUUUGAGAGGAGCUGUCCUUAGUACGAGAGGACCGGGAUGGACAUACCUCUGGUGUACCAGUUGUCGUGCCAACGGCAUAGCUGGGUAGCUAUGUGUGGACGGGAUAAGUGCUGAAAGCAUCUAAGCAUGAAGCCCCCCUCAAGAUGAGAUUUCCCAACUUCGGUUAUAAGAUCCCUCAAAGAUGAUGAGGUUAAUAGGUUCGAGGUGGAAGCAUGGUGACAUGUGGAGCUGACGAAUACUAAUCGAUCGAAGACUUAAUCAA